UAAAUGUUUAGAUAAAUAUGGAUAAAUUUUAAUUUUAGGUAAAUUAUGGUAUUUUUCUAUUUUAAAUUAUUAUGUGGGUUUUCUUUUCCAUAUUUUUAACUUUUUUUUUUUUAUAUUUUCCAGAAAAUCAUUUUCUCUCUUACCUCUUUGUCUUCUCCACCACCAUUGUUUCUCUUCACCUCUCUGUCUUCUCUUCACCAUUGUUCCAUCUUCACUAUUGUUUUCUCUCUUACCUCUUUGUCUUCUCCUCCACCAUUUCUCUUCACCAUUGUUCCAUCUUACCUGAAGAGGAGGCAUCGAUUUACGCCGUCGAAGCGAAAAGAGGAGCCUAUAAAACAUCGUGAGGUCCCGUCGUCCCUCUACGUCCUCUGACCCCUUUUCUUCGGACAGCCACCUCUGCCCUCUCCUCUGGGUUGGGUAACACUACAAUUGACCCGAGAUCCCACCUUUGCAAGAGGAUUCUUGUCUGCUAGAUCCGUCACUGGGUUUCUUUCAGAUGUUUAUUCUGUAGCUGCUGAUGAAGUUGGGAAAAUUUUUGUUAUUGCUGAUGAAAGGGCAGAUCUUAGCAAACCAGAGACAAUUCCUGUAACGUUGGUUGGCAUUCACACUGUUAUUGAUUGUGCCACAGGGCGCCCAGAAGAGCCUAUAAAGACGGUCAUUAAUCAUAUUUAGAGAAUGUCUUCAUCUGAUUUUGAAUCUCCGAAGAAAACAUCUAAAAAUACGCAAUCCCCUUCUUCUACUCGUGGUGUGAAAAGAAAGUGCAUUAGUGAAACAUCUAAAUGGAACAAGGUUUUUUCUAAUUAUUCUCUUAAAGUACCAAGCUACUUAUUUUCCAUGCUCUUUUAUUUAAUAUCAGUUUAUUCAUGAUUUAUUUUCAAUGAUCUUUUAUAUUGAAAUUUAAUAUUAAUUCAUCUUAGACUAGACUAAUUUGAAACUUUUAUUUAUUUAGAUUU